UACCGUUAACGUUUUAUUACGAGUUUGAAUGAAACACUAAUACUUCGGUAGCUGCAUUAAAAUGAUGCUUUCGGUGCGGAGAAUUUUGAGUGAAUGACUGUACGAAACUGACUCAAAUGAUUUGCGUCUGGAGAUGCAGGAAGGUUCAAUAACCGUCCUUUAUUAUUAACAAAUAUCUGUUUAAAAGCGCCAUGAAGCAAGAGGGUGAAUAAACAUCCGCUAUUAUUAAUGACCGUUAAGUUCUGCUGAAAGAGGGCGUACAGCUUGUAUCCGAAUAAGGGUUAGAAUAGAAGAGGAAAAGCCCUUAGUUGCAUCUGAAUAUAUUUAUGAAGCAUCAGCUCUGUAACUGAGAGAGUAACAUGUUGAAAGAAAAGAAAAAUAAUAAUACGGCUAAAAUUUUAUCAUGCCGCAAGAAGGUUUUAAUUCCUGAAUUUGAUUUUCUUGAACAAAAAUGAACGUUAAACAUCAUUGGUCUUUUAUUUUCGAAUCAUCUGCUUCGAAAUGAAAUGUUAACAGAAGAUACUGCUUUGUGUUUGGUGGAAUAAGACCUUUUAUUGUAUACUUUGGAUAUUUGGAGAGUGGCAAAACCAUCAUAAUCGAUGUAUAUCAUCCUUGUGUGCAGAUAAUGUUUCGAAAACAAUGUUACUGAAAAAGAUAAUGUACUAAAAGCGUAUUUCAGUAACAAAAAUAAUAAAAGGAUCGUGAAGAAUAAGUUUAUCCAUUUACGGAAGUGUGUCAUGAAAAGCUGGAAUCCAAUAAAAUCGGAUGCUUUAAAAAAAGCCGUAAGGAAAAAGACGGAUAAGUCCUUAAACUCAGAAAUGAAACUCUCCAAUUUUCCCAAAAAGGAAUUCUCAAUGCGGAUAAGAGGCAUCUCCUUCAUACCCAGUAAUCAAGUCCAGUUAUGCUCAUAUCAAGCAAUUUCAAGUUACGCUCAUACCAUCGUCGAAUAUCCUGGUAUUUUUCCAAGUUGUUGAUUCUUAUUCCAGUUCAGGACAACCAAUGGAUAACGAAAAUGUCGAGCAGGACGCUUACUUAAGCACGUCAUUUCCAUUUGAACUUUAAUGCAUAAAGUAAGGUCGUAUGAUUUUAGAAUAUUUGCUUAUCAGAAUUGGCUGUAAGACAUCUAGGCGGUAAAUCUUUUCUACUCAUUCAGACUGCCUUGUGAUAUUAUUUUAAUGCAUUUUAAAAUUUUUCGAAUAGUUAAAAUUGUAUACGUGG